rnacentral:rRNA from 1 species
UACGGAGGAUGCGAGCGUUAUCCGGAUUUAUUGGGUUUAAAGGGUGCGUAGGCGGGAUGCCAAGUCAGCGGUAAAAAUGCGGUGCUCAACGCCGUCGAGCCGUUGAAACUGGCGUUCUUGAGUGGGCGAGAAGUAUGCGGAAUGCGUGGUGUAGCGGUGAAAUGCAUAGAUAUCACGCAGAACUCCGAUUGGGAAGGCAGCAUACCGGCGCCCUACUGACGCUGAGGCACGAAAGCGUGGGUAUCGAACAGG